UCCAGGUCAACUGGCAUCCCUGGUUCUGUUGGAAGCAACUGAGUGUUGGCUAGCCUUCAGAUAUACAAAACAACUGCUUGCUUGAUACAAAAUUUGGACCCUAUUUGGCAUCAGUAAAUACACAGAUGUGUCCUCUCUUCCCAUGGAACUUCAAGUCUAGAGAUCAAUUCAGGGCAGUAACAUGAUCAGGAAGAGUCUCAUCAACCAUAGUAGGUAAACAGAGCAUUUUCCCCUUCCUUUUCCCCUCAUAGGUUCUACCCAGUGCUAAACUUACAUCAAAAGCUCAGCAAAUGCUGAUUGAUUAAUCUUUUCUUGGCUAUUGCAAAAUGGUCUUAAGGGCCUUCUCUUAGCUCUUCACUGGCCUCUGAGCUCUCUGCCAAGCAGGGCUCUGCAAAAUAGUCAGUGAUAUCCCAAGGAAAAUAACAAGAUCAGCCUCACACUGCUACCAAGGAAAGAGGAAAAGUUGGUAGGAGAGUGACCUAAAGAACUUCUCUCUCUAGGUCCAGGUAUUUGUUCAUCUCUCCAAAAAUGGGAAUAGUGGAGACCAUUUUCCAAGGAUAGAUUUUAAUAGUCAAACUUGUACCUCAGCCUCCUAAUGUUUGCACAUAAAUUUGUGGGGGUGGGGAGAGAGAGAAAAGGAGUAUAGGAAACAAGGUGGUCCAGAUGCUGUGUCCAUGGUGAUAAUAAUACCAUUAAAGAGGAGGCUGGGAUUCCUUGUCAUCUAACCUUGUCCACAUGACUGAGUCCACAUGACUAUCUAGCAGGCUUGGAUUCCCAGGCUCCAAUGGCUACAGGGCUCCUUUCCAGCACUUCAAUGUGGCAGAAGUGCUGAUAUCAUGUAACAGACAGGAUCAUAGGCAGGGCUUUGUCUGACCAGGCUAAGGCCCAAAGCAAAAGUCUUUGUCUCAGGAACCUCCUGAUGAUUGUUGUUUUACUCCUAGAACCCACCCACUGAUCCCCAUCCAUCCCUAGUACCAGUCACGGCUGCUCUAGUAUCUUGGCCCUGUCAACUGCUAUAGGCCCUUAUCAAGGAGGCCUCUGUUCAUGGGGUGAGGUUAAGGGGUGGGUUCUGGUAGGAGGGUAAGACUGUAGUGCAGAUUAGAGACUUAGGGAGAUGGGGCCAGUUUCUCACUCAAUGAGACCGCCUGUUAUUUAGCUCUAUUGUAUAGGGUUCUUCUAUCUCUCCCUUUGUCAGCUGGAUUUAAGGGACAAGCUAGGAAUUGUGCAGGGUACAAUUGGUCUUUUUCUACCAUUCCUUUCGAUGAAAGCCCUUCCUCUCUUCCCUUUGAUGAGUUCCCAGAUUCACACUGAAUUUCCAUCAUGGAGCUGGUCCUUGAGGCUGCCCAGGGCAUGGGAAAGGAGGGAGGGCUUGGGAGCUCUUGGCUACUGCUUAAAGAGACAGCAUCAGGAUCAACACAGUCAGUGGGAUGGACCUGGAUCUGAAUUGCAAUGGUCCUGUUAAUCUCUGUCAAAGAACAUUAUGAGAAGUGACUGAAGUUCUAUUACAGAUUGAUUAGACUUAUUUGGGGGAGUUUACAGGUAAAUGUAUCCAACUCUAAACUGAUUCUUUCCUUUGCUUGCAUUUGGUCCACAGGACUUGGUUUUAUCCAUUUCAUUACUUGAUAAUAGGUAGCUUUGUUUUUUGAUUCAUAGAUAUAAUAGUUUGUUCUCCCAAACAAGAUUCUCUCAAGAAAAGGGACUGGGCCUCCAAAUUACUUCUAUUUCUCAUAGUGCUUAGGUCACUGCUAAUGUGUUUAAUGCUUGUGCUGAAUCCAUAUAAACAAAAAUAAAAGGAAAACACUAGAGAGGGUCAUUAGUUUUCUCUAUGAUCUCUCAUCAAAGUCAGGCAGUUUAAUCCAUUUGGGUAAUGUUAUUACUGUACAGUUCUUUUAUGCCUACUCUACCAUGUUUCUGUCUGUACUUAGCCUGGAAAUGUGAGGAUGUCUCUUCAGAGAGCCAAGGAACUUCUCUUCCUGAUUUCUCACAUAUUUCCUGAAUCCACUUCACACCCUUUUAACCAUGAAGUUUCUUGUAUGUUCUGAGGUUUUCCAAGUUGGAAUUCAAAUUGAUUUUUGCUUAGACUAAGAUUCUUCACUUCUACUGAACUUAAAUACCCUCAGAACAAAUCUUUCAUCUCAAUCGUGAAAAGAUGGACAUCCAAUGCUUACGCUGAUAAUGUUGAACUGUUUGCAGCUCAACAGUGAUUGAUUUAUCCAAAGCUAUUUAUUUCAGACUUGUCAUUAAAAUCUCAUUAAAGCCUACGUCCUUAUUUAAGCAACAGUGCAACAGAAAAAAAGGGAUGAAAACUUAUCUAAGCUCUAAGAAAACAAAGACAAAUGGAUGUAAAAAGAAAACAUCACUUGGUGAUUCACAGUUGCUCCCAUGGCUUAGCCCUUUGUCACCCAGUAAUAAUACUACAUAUGACACUUUCUGAUUGUUUGAAUGAUGGUCAAGGAAUCAAAUAUACUAAGGAUAAUUUAUCUUCUAAUUUUUAAAAUUUUUUAAAAAUUAUUUUUAGUCAUUGAUGGACAUUUAUUUUAUUUAUGUGUGGUGCUGAGAAUCGAACCCAGUGCCUCACGCAUACUAGGCAAGUGCGCUACCACUGAGCGACAGCCCCAGCCCCCAAUUUAUCCUCUAAUGUUUAAAGGCAGGUUAUCUUAAUGUGAUGAGAUGAAAAACCAUCCUUAGUGUGUUGUUUAGAAGGGACAUCAGCUAAAACUAGAGUGAAAUUCUCUGUUUGCCUAGCAAGAGUUCAAGUUCCUCCAUCUCUAAUCAUACCUGUACCACCAUUUAGCCCCUCCCAUGGUGAAAAGGCAGGGGUGAGUGAGUGGGCCCAGGAUGGCCACUUGCUAGGGUGGAUGACCCUCCUUACCCUGGGCUAAACAAACAGUCCUGCUAUUGUUUUCUGGGUCUAACCCCUUCCCCACCCUAGGCCUGCAGGCCCUUGCAGAAUACCAAUGAGGCUCCUGAGAUCUUAGGAGAAACAAGGCUUCUUUGUCUAGGGAAGCUAUGGAGGGCUCUGUCCAAGCCCUGACCCUGUGCUGGGGAGAGAGGGAACACUGGGGUCACUGACCAUCCCUUCCCCCAACCCCCUGUCUUCAGAUACCUUCUUUACUAGAAGAGUCAACAAGUUUGAGACUGGGGAGGAAUAAGAAAGGCAGGGAAGGAAAAUAAUAGUACUGUUGACUUCCUAGUACCCAUUCUUGACUUACAGGAUACAUCUAAUAUUUUAUUGAAAAAAAGAAAGGAGGAUCAAUUUCUGGAAUGCCUCCUGAGAACAGUGAUUACUUUCAGCUGUUAUAUUUUCGUCUCUGGCAUAUAUGUGUGCAUGUGCCCAUUUGUGAACAUGUGCGUGUGUGCACAUGUGUGUACAAACACUCCACAGGCCAGAACAGAUGAAGCAUUUUUAUCAAGUAUACUUGCAGAGUUCAUGCUGAGUAAACAGCUUCCACUCACAUGAGCACAGCUACAAACUGUUUCUUAUGGAGGCCAAGUUUUCUGGCAGUAGAGCUUCAGUUCAUAGAAAA